UUGACCUCGGAUCAGGUAGGGAUACCCGCUGAACUUAAGCAUAUCAAUAAGCGGAGGAAAAGAAACCAACAGGGAUUGCCCCAGUAACGGCGAGUGAAGCGGCAAGAGCUCAAAUUUGAAAGCUGGCUCCUUCGGGGUCCGCAUUGUAAUUUGUAGAGGAUGCUUCGGGAGCGGUCCCCAUCUAAGUGCCCUGGAACGGGACGUCAUAGAGGGUGAGAAUCCCGUAUGGGAUGGGGUGUCCGCGCCCGUGUGAAGCUCCUUCGACGAGUCGAGUUGUUUGGGAAUGCAGCUCUAAAUGGGUGGUAAAUUUCAUCUAAAGCUAAAUAUUGGCCGGAGACCGAUAGCGCACAAGUAGAGUGAUCGAAAGAUGAAAAGCACUUUGAAAAGAGAGUUAAAAAGCACGUGAAAUUGUUGAAAGGGAAGCGCUUGCGACCAGACUCGCUCGCGGGGUUCAGCCGGCAUUCGUGCCGGUGUACUUCCCCGCGGGCGGGCCAGCGUCGGUUUGGGCGGUCGGUCAAAGGCCCUCGGAAGGUAACGCCCCUAGGGGCGUCUUAUAGCCGAGGGUGCAAUGCGACCUGCCUAGACCGAGGAACGCGCUUCGGCUCGGA
rnacentral:rRNA from 1 species